GAUCAUGGCUCAGGAUGAACGCUGGCGGCGUGCUUAACACAUGCAAGUCGAACGGAACUACUUUGAUGAGAUUCUUCGGAAAGGAUUUGAUUUAGUUUAGUGGCGGACGGGUGAGUAACGCGUGGGUAACCUGCCUCAGUACAGGGGGAUAACAGUUGGAAACGGCUGUUAAUACCGCAUAAGCGCACAGUACCGGCAUAGGUAUGGUGUGAAAAACUCCGGUGGUAUGNGAUGGACCCGCGU
rnacentral:rRNA from 1 species